GAUGAACGCUGGCGGCGUGCCUAAUACAUGCAAGUCGAACGCAUAGCGAAAGGUGCUUGCACCUUUCAAGUGAGUGGCGAACGGGUGAGUAACACGUGGACAACCUGCCCCAAGGCUGGGGAUAACAUUUGGAAACAGAUGCUAAUACCGAAUAAAACUUAGUGUCGCAUGACACAAAGUUAAAAGGCGCUUCGGCGUCACCUAGAGAUGGAUCCGCGGUGCAUUAGUUAGUUGGUGGGGUAAAGGCCUACCAAGACAAUGAUGCAUAGCCGAGUUGAGAGACUGAACGGCCACAUUGGGACUGAGACACGGCCCAAACUCCUACGGGAGGCUACAGUAGGGAAUCUUCCACAAUGGGCGAAAGCCUGAUGGAGCAACGCCGCGUGUGUGAUGAAGGCUUUCGGGUCGUAAAGCACUGUUGUAUGGGAAGAACAGCUAGAAUAGGAAAUGAUUUUAGUUUGACGGUACCAUACCAGAAAGGGACGGCUAAAUACGUG
rnacentral:rRNA from 1 species